rnacentral:rRNA from 1 species
UGAGUAACCUGCCUUUCANAGGGGGAGUAACGUUCUGAAAAGAAACGCUAAUACCGCAUGAGACUACAGAGCUGCAUGGCUCAGUGGUCAAAGGAGCAAUCCGCUGAAAGAUGGACUCGCGUCCGAUUAGAUAGUAGGCGGGGUAACGGCCCACCUAGUCGACGAUCGGUAGCCGGACUGAGAGGUUGAACGGCCACAUUGGGACUGAGACACGGCCCAGACUCCUACGGGAGGCAGCAUG